UGCCAGCCGCCGCGGUAAUACGGAGGGUGCGAGCGUUAAUCGGAAUCACUGGGCGUAAAGCGUACGUAGGUGGCAAAGUCAGUCAGGCGUGAAAGCCCUCGGCUCAACCGAGGAAUUGCAGAGUAAACUGUCAGGAUAGAGUAUGGAAGGGGCAGGUGGAAUUUCCGGUGUAGGGGUAAAAUCCGUAGAGAUCGGAAGGAAUACCGACGGCGAAGGCAACCUGCUGGGACAUUACUGACGCUGAGGCACGAAAGCGUGGGGAGCAAACAGGAUUAGAUA
rnacentral:rRNA from 1 species